CUAUAGUAAAAAUAGGAAAUUCCAUAUUCACGGAAACGGAAAGUUCCAUUUCCACAAAUGUUCCACUGGAAAACACUCUUUUGUUUUUGUUUCCGUUUUCAUAUUAAAAAUUCCAUUUUCAUUUUCGUUUUGCAAAUUUUCAUUUCCGCUUUCAUAUUUCCUCUCCGUUUUUAUUUUUCCUCCGACGGAAGUUUCCACUCCAUUUUGAUCC
rnacentral:lncRNA from 1 species